GAAGCGGUGAAUUCAAGCCCCGGUAAACGGCGGUGGUAACUAUAACCAUCCUAAGGUAGCGAAAUUCCUUGUCGGGUAAGUUCCGACCUGCACGAAUGGCGUAACGACUUCCCCACUGUCUCGACCAGGAGCUCGGCGAAAUUGCAGUACGAGUAAAGAUGCUCGUUAAGCGCAGAAGGACGAAAAGACCCCGGGACCUUUACUAUACCUUGGUAUUGGCAUUCGGUGUGGAUUGUGUAGCAUAGGCGGGAGGCCGAGAGGCGCGGUCGCCAGAUCGCGCGGAGCCGUAAGGUGAAAUACCGCUCUGUUCGCAUUGGAUGUCUAACCUCGAACAGUCAUCCUGUUCAGGGACAGUGCCUGGCGGGUAGUUUAACUGGGGCGGUUGCCUCCCAAAGAGUAACGGAGGCGCCCAAAGGUCCGCUCAGCCCGGUUGGCAAUCGGGUGGCGAGUGCAAGUGCACAAGCGGGCUUGACUGCGAGGACGACGGUCCGAGCAGGGACGAAAGUCGGGCUUAGUGAUCCGGUGGUGCCGAGUGGAAGGGCCAUCGCUCAACGGAUAAAAGCUACCCUGGGGAUAACAGGCUAAUCUCUCCCAAGAGUCCAUAUCGACGGGGAGGUUUGGCACCUCGAUGUCGGCUCAUCACAUCCUGGGGCUGAAGUCGGUCCCAAGGGUUGGGCUGUUCGCCCAUUAAAGUGGUACGUGAGCUGGGUUCAGAACGUCGUGAGACAGUUCGGUCCCUAUCCAUCGCGGGCGCAAGAGAUUUGAAGGGGGCUGCUCCUAGUACGAGAGGACCGGAGUGGACGAACCGCUGGUGUACCAAUUAUCCUGCCAAGGGUACAGUUGGGUAGCUACGUUCGGGACGGAUAAACGCUGAAAGCAUCUAAGCGUGAAACCAGCCUUGAGAUGAGGUUUCUCAUAGCAUAAGCUAGUAAGAUCCCAUGUAGACGACAUGGUUGAUAGGCCAGGUGUGGAAGAGCCGUGAGGUUUGGAGCUGACUGGUACUAAUAGAUCGAGGGCUUUACUUA
rnacentral:rRNA from 1 species